rnacentral:rRNA from 1 species
CCUACGGGUUGCAGCAGUGGGGAAUAUUGGACAAUGGGCGCAAGCCUGAUGGAGCAACGCCGCGUGUGUGAUGAAGGGUUUCGGCUCGUAAAACACUGUUAUAAGAGAAGAACGGUACUGAGAGUAACUGUUCAGUGUGUGACGGUAUCUUACCAGAAAGGAACGGCUAAAUACGUGCCAGCAGCCGCGGUAAUACGUAUGUUCCAAGCGUUAUCCGGAUUUAUUGGGCGUAUAGCGAGCGCAGACGGUUAUUUAAGUCUGAAGUGAAAGCCCUCAGCUCAACUGAGAAAUUGCUUUGGAAACUGGAUGACUUGAGUGCAGUAGAGGAAAGUGGAACUCCAUGUGUAGCGGUGAAAUGCGUAGAUAUAUGGAAGAACACCAGUGGCGAAGGCGGCUUUCUGGACUGUAACUGACGUUGAGGCUCGAAAGUGUGGGUAGCAAACAGGAUUAGAUACCCGGGUAGUC